GAUGAACGCUGGCGGCAGGCUUAACACAUGCAAGUCGAACGCCCCGCAAGGGGAGUGGCAGACGGGUGAGUAACGCGUGGGAAUCUACCCAGAUCUACGGAACAACAGUUGGAAACGACUGCUAAUACCGUAUACGCCCUACGGGGGAAAGAUUUAUCGGAUUUGGAUGAGCCCGCGUUGGAUUAGCUAGUUGGUGGGGUAAUGGCCUACCAAGGCGACGAUCCAUAGCUGGUCUGAGAGGAUGAUCAGCCACACUGGGACUGAGACACGGCCCAGACUCCUACGGGAGGCAGCAGUGGGGAAUAUUGGACAAUGGGCGCAAGCCUGAUCCAGCCAUGCCGCGUGAGUGAUGAAGGCCUUAGGGUUGUAAAGCUCUUUCACCGAUGAAGAUAAUGACGGUAGUCGGAGAAGAAGCCCCGGCUAACUUCGUGCCAGCAGCCGCCGUAAGAC
rnacentral:rRNA from 1 species